rnacentral:rRNA from 1 species
UACGUAGGCAGCGAGCGUUGUUCGGAAUUACUGGGCGUAAAGAGUGUGUAGGCGGUGCUCUAAGUUCGGUGUGAAAUCUCCCGCUUAACUGGGAGGGUGCGCCGGAAACUGGAGUGCUCGAGCGUGGGAGAGGAAAGCGGAAUUCCUGGUGUAGCGGUGAAAUGCGUAGAUAUCAGGAGGAACACCUGUGGUGUAGACAGCUUACUGGACCAUAACUGACGCUGAGGCACGAAAGCGUGGGUAGCAAACAGG